rnacentral:lncRNA from 1 species
GCAUGUCCUCACCACAAAUUUUAUAUAUAACAUGUUCUGAAAAUUAUAGCUCAUUAGCAAUGUUGUCCAACUCUUUAGAUUCUUCAAAUCUUAAAAGCUUAUUUGUUUAUUAGAGAAUUCCAUCUCCAAAGAAGACCUGCCUUUUAGAAUUUUAGGUUUAUAUUUCUUUUAUUUAAAUUCCUUAACAUUCAAAGGUUAGAAUAUGAGUUUCAUGUUGUUUUCUUUCCAAACUACAAAGAUACUAUGAGUAUAAGGUCCUGCAUUCCCAGAAUUUUAGUCACUUCCACCUCAUUAAUCUGUUCAUCAUGGUUAUUCCAAUUUAAGCCCAGAGUAGAAAUCACUUCAUUAAUCCUCAAAUAUUUGGAGAUGCUUUACUGGUCUAUUUUGAACAUUGAGAUUGCAAUGAGGAUUUGGGACCAUUUUGUGGAUAAUUGGAUACGAACAUCUAUUCUGAAAAACAUACAUAUUUGAGAUCAAAGUAGUUUUUUAUUUGAACAGUUGCUUCAGCUUCUUACUCUGUCUAGAUAAUCUCUUUGAAGAAUCAUCCAAAAGUUAAAUUCACUAUGUGACAAAAUAUAUAAAUUGUAUAUGGUCAUAGAAAAAUGCAAUUAUAUUAAGAAUAUAGCAUAUUCAAAGUUCAGAUCUUAUAAAAGGAAAAGCAAUACCCUAAAUAGCCAGCUCUUUAGAAUGGCUGAAUCAAAGAUAUGGUGAUUGGAUUCUCAAUAUUCUUUCUAUUAAAUGAAAAUUUUCAUGAGGCAUAUGCUCAUUAAAUUUCAUAUAUAGACAUUAUCAUUUUAAUUGUUGUUUAAGGGUGAGCAAUGACAAUGAAUAAACAAUAUUUAGAAACUGAGUCUAUGCUUUCAAAAUACUAGGCAUUUGUUAAUACACAGUAGCCAACUUAACUUACCAUCAUUUUGCUUAACUGUGGAUAAAAGUAAUUUUAAUGUAUAAAAAUCAUGAAAAAUCAAUGCAUGAAUAAAGCAAGGGAGGCUGUUAGCACUCAUAAUUGAAAGCUAAUUAUAACAAAACUAUUUAAAAUAUUUAACUUAUGAUACACUCAAAGAUCUGGAAGGGACAUAGAGAAUUUUCUCUUCUACCCCUUCCCUCACUUGAUAAUCCUUUCAAAUAUUGUGGUAGGUGAGUUUGCUGGGCACCCAAGAAUGUAAAAAUCACAACAGGAAAGACUGUACACAAGGGUUGGAAGGAUUCAGACUGAAAAAAUUUGCUUCAUGAUUUUGCCUAAAGCAUGUUUUUAUCUUUCAGCAUUAUAAAUUGUCACAACUUAACUUUUUAGUCUACAAUACUCCUUAAAAUUUUACUCAGGCAAAUCAAUAUUUGAUUCCUGAGAAUGUCAAAAGACAAUUUAAGUGCAAAUCUAGUGACCCAAUACAUAAAGCUUAUUCUUAAUGAAAUCAGAAUUCCAGAUUAGCCCCAAACUGCAUUUUGUUGCCAUUUUAUAGAAUGUAUAAAUGCUUUCCUCCAUGGAGCUCUACAACAGGAUAUCUGAAUGAAUUUGGGCAAUAAUGAAUCUGAGUCUUGUGUUGCUUAUUUAGUCCAUAAAAAAUAUAAGUGCCCUUCUAGUUAAAGCAACCUAAACUGAUCAUUUUUAGGUUGAAAAGUAAAGAUAUUUUGUAAUUUUCUGAUAAAUCUUUCAACUGAACAAAUCGAUUUAAUGUAGAUAAAGCUACACAUUAUUGACCAACAUGCUACCAAAUAAGCAGGUACUUACUAAGAAGUGGUCUCAAGCUCUACUGAAGAUCACGAUUGUAGAUAUCAUUUAUACCUUAACAUCUAGUAUUUUGUUGUGUAAAAAGAAAGUCACAUUUCUUAAAUUAUUUUGAUAAUGCCUAUUUUAUUCUUUAAGUGUCUAUAUAUUACUAUUAAUGUAAUUGUAUUGCUGUAAACCAUUAAGUGUAUUAUAUAAGUACAUUACUUUUUAACCAUUUCUGGUUUCCAUCAGUAAAUUUAAUGGUUGCUGCAAUGAAAUUUACCCAUCACUCUCAAAAUGCAUAAAAGAUUUUACAAUGCACAGUUUUACUUAAUGCAAAAAGCAAUCCAUGCCACUGCUUCAUUUUAUUUUAAUUUCAUAAUUUAUGUGAAAAAAAUAUGUUUUAGUUUUGCUUUUUAUAGCCACUCAUGUUUUAGAAGCCAUGGAGAUAGAGAUUGCCUAGGUACAAAAAUAUGGUUUUGCUAAGUUAGGACACUAUCAGCAUUCUUCAUCAAUGUAUUGGUCAAUGUAUUGGUCUUACUAUAUAAAAUAUAAUGUAAAAUGUUACUCAUUUUUAUUUAGUUUGCUUACAAUUUCUGCAUUUGUAAAGGUAAAACAGUAUCUGGAUUGUAAAAGCACUAGGAAUUUGGAAUAGCCUAGAAUAGUAAAUUCCAUUUGUUAAAUCAAUAAUUUCCUUCAUAAUUUUUCAAGACAAACUAUUUAAGUGAGCGUGCACAAGGAAGUGAGUUAUAAUCACAUAGACUUAAAAACAAGAAGUACAUGAUAGUGUUAGAACUGGAUUAUACUGGCGAAGCAUUCACAGGUUUUAAAGUAGCCUGGGAGGAUUUCUGAGUGAUGUGUCUGCAUUCACAUCACUUUAACAGCUUUCAUUGACUUGAUCCAACAAUUUAGUUACAUUUCCACGAAAUACAAGUAAAAAACCUAAUUUUUUUGAUUUCAUGAAAAUUUUUUUUUUUGCUAGAAUUGAUAAUGUAUGAAUCUAUCGUAUAACUCAAAUUUACCAGUUGAUUCAUCCCCUAAUGAAAUACCUAUUUCUAUUUUCUACUUUUUAUAGAAAUAUAAAAAAUCAUGUUGGUUAUUAUGAAAGUCAAACCACAGAGGAAUUAUUGAAUUUUAUCCCAAUUAAUCAGCUUGAGUGACAUAGGAAAGGCAUUCAGUUUUAUCUAUUGACACAAUUUUAAUGAAUUAGUAAUAUUUCCUUACAAACUGAGAAAUUAAUUCAUGAUGUUAAUAAUUCUAUUUAAUGGAGGGUAAAAGAUGCCAGAGACUGAGACUAAGUUAUCUGGGUUCCAAAAAAAAAAGAGCUGCUAAGAAAACAAAACUAACAAAUCUCCUCUGACUUAUAGAUGAUUUAUGUAGUCUCAGCAUCUAAAACAAUGGUUACACAUAAAUAACAUGUUCUGAGCAAUUCUGAAAAUGGUGUAAUGAUUUCAUGCAAGGUAUCUUACUUAAUAAGUGAAAUAACCAUAGAAGAACAAUUAUUAAACAUAAAAGCAUAUGAGGGGAGUUCUCUCUGUGGCACAAUGGGAUCAGCUGAGUCUCUGCAGCUCCAGAGUACAGGUUCAGCCCCCAGCCCAGCACAGUGGGUUAAAUGAUCUGAUGUUGCUACACCUGUGGUGUGGGUGGCAACUGUGGUUUGAUCUGAUCCUUGGCCCAGGAACU